ACUCACCGGCCACUUUAUUAGGUACACCUGUCCAACUGCUCGUUAACACUUAAUUUCUAAUCAGACAAUCACAUGGCUGCAACUCAGUGCAUUUAGGCAUGUAGACAUGGUUUAAGACAAUCACCUGCAGUUCAAAUCGAGCAUCAGUAUGGGGAAGAAAGGUGAUUUGAGUGACUUUGAACGUGGCAUGGUUGUUGGUGCCAGAAGGGCUGGUCUGAGUAUUUCAGAAACUGCUGAUCCACUGGGAUUUUCACGCACAACCAUCUCUAGGGUUUACAGAGAAUGGUCCGAAAAAGAAAAAAAUAUCCAGUGAGCGGCAGUUCUGUGGGCGGAAAUACCUUGUUGAUGCCAGAGGUCUGGUUCGAGCUGAUAGAAAGGCAACCAAGGUAGGCAGAAGAGCAUCUCUGAACGCACAGUAUGUCGAACUUUGAGGCAGAUGGGCUACAGCAGCAGAAGACCACGCCGGGUGCCACUCCUUUCAGCUAGGAACAGGAAAACACAAGCUCAUCGAAAUUGGACAAUAGAAGAUUGUAAAAACGUUGCCUGGUCUGAUGAGUCUGGAUUUCUGCUGCGACAUUCGGAUGGUAGGGUCAGAAUUUGGCGUCAACAACAUGAAAGCAUGGAUCCAUCCUGCCAUGUAUCAACGGUUCAGGCUGGUGGUGGUGGUGUAAUGGUGUGGGGAAUAUUUUCUUGGCACUCUUUUGGCCCCUUGGUACCAAUUGAGCAUCGUUGGAACGCCACAGCCAACCUGAGUAUUGUUGCUGACCAUGUCCAUCAGUUUAUGACCACAAUGUACCCAACUUCUGAUGGCUACUUUCAGCAGGAUAAUGCGCCAUGUCAUAAAGCUGGAAUCAUCUCAGACUGGUUUCUUGAACAUGACAAUGAGUUCACUGUACUCAAAUGGCCUCCACAGUCACCAGAUCUCAAUCCAAUAGAGCAUCUUUGGGAUGUGGUGGAAUGGGAGAUUCGCAUCAUGGAUGUGCAGCCGACAAAUCUGCACCAAGCGUGUGAUGCCAUCAUGUCAAUAUGGACCAAACUCUCUGAGGAAUGCUUCCAGCACCUUGUUGAAUCUAUGCCACGAAGAAUUGAGGCAGUUCUGAAGGCAAAAGGGGGUCCAACCCGUUACGAGCAUGGUGUACCUAAUAAAGUGGCCGGUGAGUGUACAUGUACACAUUAUUUUCUUUUAUAUAGGGCGGAAAACACUCAGGUGACUUGAAGUUCCGCUCUGAGAUUUGACCAAGUUUCAAAAUUGUCCGAUAUGCACGUGUGAUACAUCAUUGGAAAGCUUAAAAUCUCAAUUUUAUGGGGGAAGAAAAUUUUUGAACAGGAUGGCAUUUAAAAAACAAAACAACAAAAAAUUUAAACAGCGAAACCCUAUCUGGAGGUGAGAGCAUGCGAGAGCAGAAUUAAAGACGCCACUGUGGUGACCACUAGCUUUUGACGGAAUUCACCUAGGGAACUUAAUGUUGGGUAUGUUGUGUUCCGGGGUAUGUUGUGUUCUGGGGGUAAACUAAAUUUUGCCGUGCGCCUUUCCGGCACAAACACUUAAGAGCCGUGUGCGUUCCGGCUGAGUUAGCAGAGUCAUGAGCGGCCGAGCAAGAUACGAACGUCUACUCAACGAGCCAUCAAGACUCAAGAACAUCCAUCCGCCACACUGGUGACCCCGACUUGCCUCGCUGAAGUCUCAGGCAUUUUUAGGAACACUUUAAGCAAUGGCGGCCACUAGGUUUCUCUAGCUAGCGAUGUUUAACGAGUCUUCUGUGGCCGCGUGGUUCGCAUGCACGGAGGCGCAGUUCGCCCUCCACAGUAUAGCCGAUGAUACCAUGCGCUUCUACCACGUGGUGGCCGCGCUCGAGUACUCAACGGCGGUCAGAGCACAGGCUUCGUGGUUUUUCCGCCGAAGGUGGACAAGUAUACGGGGCUCAAGGCGCACCUUCUCAGAGUUUAUGAACAGUCACAUAAAUUGACUUUGAAGACGCCCAAGGUGCCCACCGAGGUUCCCGCCAAUGAUGGCGGCGCUUCCGUCCCGGUUCCUCGCAGUCGUACUUCUGUACCCGCGCCACCACAGCACGCUUCUGCUCUGGCACUUCCCGAGGCCGACGUUGUUGUCUCGCCUCUAUGGGGUCAGAUUAGUCUCAUAAGUACACACAUUCAUUUAACAGGAAACACACACGUAUUGUGGGAUUCGUAAACACAUAGCACGCGAAACACACACACAUUGUGGGAUUCGUAAACACAUAGCAUGCGAAACACAAACGCAUUCAUCAAAUGUGUGUGUGAAUUGUUUUACGCGCAUUUGUAACGUGCUUCCAAUUUCAAAUUCCCACUUACGAGUGUGUUGAUCGUUUUGAUACUCGUCAUGCGCAACUAAGAAGAACACAUGCAUUUUUUUAACUGGAGCCCGUCUUCAGCCAAUCAGACGUCUUCUUCUUAAACAGCCAAUCACAAGGGCUGGGCUGUUUCAUUACGUCACUGCUGUGCGCCUUCAAGUCCGGCUGGAGAUUCCUUUUAUACUACGACGCAGUUCCUGCUGUAGUCGUGCAGUUGGUGUACAACAUGGAGAAGAGGUUCCAGGAGAUUUUCAAUUUUAUGUCUAGGAGUGAAUUCCCUAAUUUAUAGUGAAUCUCAGAAAUGUGCUUUAAAAAGACAUAUGCAGAAGCUCAAACUGAAGGUCCCGAACAGAAGCACGAUCACUGUUUAAUGAAGUACACUCGGCUUCAAUUGGUGCACACACAGGCACUGUUAAAACCAGAUCCUCAACGUACUCCAGAAAUUAUUGGGAUGGCAUGACAGUGGACAUUGACUAAUGGGUCUGAAUGCGACGGAUGUCAGAGGACUGGUAACUCUUUGGCUGUGUGUGACACAGCCAUUACAAAGCAUUAAGGUGUCUGCUGUUUGGGAGUUGGUUGGGAUAGACCUGACUGGGCCUCUCCCAAAAACCAAGGAUGGCUUUCAGUACAUUCUUACUGCCACCGAUUAUUUUUCCAAACACAGAUGCCCCCAAAGAAUCCUGUCCGACCAAGGAAGAGAAUUUGUCAAUUAGCUCAACGAUAACCUUUGUGCCCUCCUGUGCAUUGAAAGGAGUGUUACAGCUGCAUAUCAUCCUAAGACGAAUGGGCUGGAUGAGAGGACAAAUAGCAACAUAAAACGGCAAGUUUUUUGUUGUUGUUGUUGAUGUUCUAAAAUGUAUAUCUAAUUGUACCCUUCUACUUCGUACAGCUCUUACAAAAUUGGUGAACGACCGACAGGAUUUGUUUGGUGGUCUGGCCUAUUCAGUAGAUAAUUUUGACCGGAUGGUCAUCUGGUCAAGUGCCGUUUUUGAUUUAACAAUGUUGUGUUUUCAGUUAAAUUACUGUGGGCUGCAGAGGACCAAGGCAAGGUGGAGGCUGUCGUUGGACCGUAUAAAUUAUAUGACACGUCUUUUCAUACGCUAAAAGGCAACGGCUGGCUGUCUGAUGAAGAGCCCAUUCACCAACUCUCUGCUGUGGUAGCUGGGAGUCUGCUUUUGGGAAAAUUUCAGCCUGUUAGAAAGAGGAAAUUCCCUAUUGAAAAAAUGUGGAUUUGUCCUGUCCUGUCCUGUAUGCGCUCAUUGGAUUUUAGUGAUUGUCCACAUUUCUGACAGAACACUGGUGAUCAUCGAUCCCUUGAGUAACGAGGACAAAUAUGAGCAAAAUCUUGCGGAAUUGGAGGAACUUCUUGAGGUUGGCGGGCCGUGAGUUCCAAAUAGAAACUUGGACUACCAAAACUUUGGCCCAUAACAAGCAGCAGAACAACAGUAGCUGUGGGGUUUUCACAUUAAAGUUUGCGGAAGAGUAUAUGGCCAAUGGAGAUCUCAGGCACAACCAGACCCACCUUCCCGAAGUUCUGAAGGCUCGAGGAGAUAUAGCCUGUGCCCUCCAACAGGCUGGGAGUCUGAGAUGUCUAUUUAAAUUUUAAAAAAUGUCUGAAACUUACUUGGUCUCCUCACCUCACAUAAUUGAACUCCUGAUUGCUCUCGGUGUCACUAUUUACUUUCAAAGGCAUCCAAAGAACAGAUCUGAGGAUUUGCUGCUGCGCUUUAUCCUCUCUUGCCAUCAUUGAUCACUUAUUAGGUUUGUCACGAUAAAAAAAGUGUUUAAAAAGGUAAAAUUCAUGUGGCAGGUCUUAACCCCUUAAUGCCUGCAAUAUGAAGCAAUUGUCAGAGGAUCACAAAAUGUGAAAAAUAAGGUCUUAAACCUUUUUUCCCAAAUUUGUAAAGAAAAAUGUAAUAAGCGCUCUAAUAUCUAUUUUCCUUGUUGUUAGCUUUUUUUUUUUUGAGGAAAGAGUUCUAAAUUCUGAAUUUGUCUCAAAAUCAUGAAAUCCUAAGUGUAUCAAAUGUGAUACAUUUGGCAAGAAAGGGUUAAGCUCUGUUGCUCCAAGUCUUUCAAAAAAUAUAUAUUUUUAUAUCCGUAAUAGACUACCAUCCUUUAAAUAGUACUGUCACUGUAGGUAGCAUUUUUAACAGGCUUAUAAUGUCUAUUUUUUUUCCUUUUAAAAUGGUCUUAAAUUGGUUUAAGCAUAGACAUCACAAUCAUACAUUAAGAAGUCUGGUUUAAGUCUGAAUUUUCCCAAGUAUGACUUUCAAAUAGGCUUGAAAUGGAGAAAGUAGUCUUAAAAAGACUUAUUUAGCGGACAAAAAGCCUGUUAAAAAUGUGCCACAUAUAGUACAGUAUUAGACAUCUAAUCUUGCUCUCAUCAUCCCUCUGCUGAGCGGUUCAAUGAGUUUUUCACUAGUUGACAUCCAAUCCAUUUGAAGUGCAUGGGAGGUCCUCCCACUCAAAAUGGAUGGGACGUCUUCAGCUGUCAAUGACAGAGAAAGGCAAAACCGUUAAACGACGUAAGCCUAUUAAAAAUGCUAAUCGUAGUAAAAUAUCAUUACGUGUACUUGAUAAGCCUGCUGUGGACAACACACUCGCAUGGAACCAACGAUGUCAGCAUGCAAUAGAAUUUCCAGUUGAAAGAGGUUUGGAUAAGAUGUCCAUUGGCUCCUCCAGUAUUGAAGAAAAUUGGCAUUGCGUGCCAUGUUCGGCUCAGCCAUGCAUCGGUGCACUUUUGCAAUUUCAUCUACAGUUGCAUUGCCUCCUUGACUCCCCACUUCGUCAUCUAAGUGCUACCAUAGCCCAUCAGUAAGAAAUUGAAGUGGAUAAAAAAUAAAUUAUAGCUUAAUUACAGAUUUCUAAUAAAUUACAUAAAAAGUGACUGUGGGAAAGUAAAGGAAUGGCUCUAUACCUGUGUUUAUUUUGGGAUUAUCAGAAACUUCAUUCUCAUGCUUUGCCCAAUAAUGCUUCAGCAUUGAGGAGGUGGCAACUGUUUGUAUAUGACAGGUUAGUCAUAUACAAACUACAAAUGUGACAUUUCAUCUGCAAAAAAAUAACUUUAAUAGUAAAAUCCAAAGUUUUGAAGCCGGGCUGCGCUUCAAUUAACACGGCCCGACCAGGACUCGAACCCACGCGCACAACGCGUAGUUGACGAAUGGUGUUUGCUUUGACCACUAAGCUAGCAGGUCACAGUUUGUCAUUCCUUCUUGAAGGUAAUACAACGCAAACGACGGACCAACGUGCACCCGUCACACUUAUAAACUAAGAUUUACCUUAAAAUUAAUUGUAUUUUGAAUGGAAGAUGACAAGUGCGUUUCCCUGUCUUACGUCCAUUUCCACAGCAUGUAGACAACGAGGAAGUAACCGUGAGAUGUGGAUUGUUUCAGCAGCUCCAUCGCGUUGACAGACGCGCUUCCUUUUGAACCAGUUUGCCGCGUCAUGACUGUGUCGACACAGUUCAAUGAGUUCAUGCAUCGGUCACGUGAUUUUCUUGUAGCGAUACGCGCACCGACGCAGGGGUUCCGCCAUGAGCUCGGCGCGCGCGCCGGCGCAUUAGUAUCACUGGACCCAUCACUAUUAAUUACCUUUGUUUUAUGGCCGGGUUGAGACAAAAGCGGUUGCGUGACAUCUGGGUUUCCAGGGCAAAACGGACAUAUUAAAAAUAGUUCGGGGGCAGUUAUUUGGCUUACAAUACAGCAGUUUAUUUUAAAGAGGAGUGCAAGAGCAGAUACUGCUUUUUCAAUCAUGUUUUCCCCCAUAUAUAUGUAUAAUUCACAAUUUUUACAUUUGUUCUGCUUAAUAAUUUACAUAGGUUUUUUUUUUUUUUUUUUUAAUUAUUAUACUUUGGGGGUGGGAGCACACAUAUGUUCCUUUCCAAAGUUGUUAAAUCUGAAUAAAUACAUUGAAGAUUUUUUUUUUUUUAAUGUAAAUAGGCUCCGCCUCUUGUUUGCAGAUUUUCUCAGGGGAUUGUGGUCCCCACUAACUGCGAAAAACGAGGGACUGUAUAUACAUGGAGUCACCAUUUGCAAAAAUGUUAUCACUGAGGGGACUUUGAACCCACCAAAAUUCUUUAAAAAAAUAAAAGUAUACCUCAGUUUAUUUUUACACUUAAAAAAACACAAAAAAACGACCAAACACGCACGCUCCUCCACACAAAAAAAGGUUCAGGACUUUAAGGGUUAAAUAAUUUAAAUUUUAAUUAUUAUUUUAAAUUAAGCAGGAGAGAUGUUUAUUCCAGUACAUGUUGUAUUAAAAUACAUAGCUGAUAAUUGUUUUUUCAUCUACUUAUGUCACUUAAAUAUGUACUUCAUUAAUUCAGGUUUCAGUAAAAUUAUUAAUGGGGGAAAAAUCACUCUUCACAUCCCCCCAAAAUAAUUCUCCAGUCCCGACACAAUCCGGAACCUCUCAAAGUGUUUUAUCCCUUUAGUCCAGUCUUCUGCCUCGAAGGAAAACUUUUUUUGUGGCUUCACUUGAAGCUGUGCCAUAUUGAUGACUGAGCUUGACUUUUGCCCACGCCUUCUUAUGAUCCUAGCUUUGGAAGAAAGACGUUAUUUGCGGUUUUCCUGACGUUUUGCAGUGGUGACUUGUUAAUGCCAGUUGCGUCUUUCAAGUACGUCUGACACCAUGUUCUAUUGUUUAAUAGGUACAUAGAAACCUUUAUGGAAACAACGGGACCACGCCAGUUAAAAUAAAACACAGAACUUUUUUUUUUUUUUCCCCUUCCAUCAUAACCCCAGAAACAUGUCUGGUUAAAGGUUCCUAUUCAGCCUAUUGCUACAGUAACGAUGGUUGUGACAAAACUGUGCAAUCCCCCUCCCCGCGCCACCACCAUGGCAGCAGAAUGCACUACCAACAGAGCUAAAAGCUCAGGCGAGCAGUUUCAGUCGUCAUCACACUCGCUUGAAGGCAUCAGGAGUGAAGUUUCCACAGCAUUCAUCUGCUUACACCCAUUUCAUUAUUCCGUGUUUGCAUUAAGUAUCCUGCAUUGACAACAUUCCUUAGAAUGCACACCUGAAAAUUGUUUAUUUAAAAAUAUCGAGGAUGACAUUUGAACACAUAUUUUGCAUUUCCCAUGUUUCUGUUGAAGACAUGCUAAACAUUACUAGUUUAGCUGUUUAAUUCUUUAAAAAUGUUAUAGAUUAGAUUGUUAGUCGACAGCCCUGUAAAUUAUUAGCUUUUUGUUAUUAUAGUUAGACACCAUUGCAGCAAUCACAAAACCCAAAUGAAAUAUCAGCACAUGACUGAUAAAAGAUAAUACUCGAUUUUCUUCUUGUCAAAUCUCAAGCUGCAGCCUUGGAGAAGUUGUCCAUCUCUUUACCCUGUGGCUGCAAGAAAAACAAAACGAUGAUCAUUUUUAAAACAUGCAAAAGAUUAAAAAAAAAAACACACAAAAUGUUUGAGGUGUUCCACCCAGAAUUGUGUACAAGCUAUAUCAGUCCAACCACUGUUCAAAUGUAAUACUGGUUAUAUUGUUGCAGCGGAAGCUGACAGAUGAAGGGAAUAGUGAGAGCAAAUUAAAAUUUGGUUGUCUCCCUGGAAAAAACAAAGUCGAAGCAUAAGAUUGUGCUUGAUCACUUACGUACCCCAGCUGUUUGACUGAUAGGUUACUCUGCUAUAGUGUUCCUCUCGUUUUUUCGAGCAGUGUACAGUAUAUAUAAACAGUGUUGGGAAUAACACCGUUAUAAAUAACGCCGUUACAUAACGGCGUUAUUUUUUUCAGUAACGGGGUCAUCUAACUAUUUUUUCCGCCGUUACAACCCCGUUACCGUUACUGACGGUCAAAUGCGGUGUGUUACUUACUCUGAAUAAUUAGAAGAAACUACCAGCCGACAGCCGUAGUGAGUCUACUCUGCUGUUUAUUUGUCAUCCAAGACUUGGGGUGCGUUCAGGUUCGAGAAUAGCGCACGUACUUCUUAUGACUCCAGGCUGUUUGUCUCUGCUCAUUCAAUUAGACAAUGCUUUCCAAAGCUUGCUAACGUUUCUGUGUUUGCUACACCUGAAUGCUAGCCUUGUUCCCAUCCCCCACUGUCAGCCAGCAAGAAUGCUGCUUCCAUCUUGAGGACGGCAGACGCUUUGAGAGUGACGGGAGGAGUAGGGGGACGAGGCUACCUGAAUGUUCAAGUUCAAGUUUAUUGUCCCCUAAGGAGGGGAAACUUAUCUUACAGCAGGUGAGCACACAGAUUCACAACAACAGAUAACACAUACACAUAAAAUAACAAAGACCACAAUUUAAAAAAUGCUAUGAACGGCUUUGCCUCUCGGUCCGAGAAUUGUGCAAAUUUAGCAGCCUAAUCGCACUUGAUAAAAAAGGAGUUCUUUGUCCUGUUGGACUCAAAACAAGGGAGUCUGAAUCUCCUGCCUGAAGGGAGAACCUCAAGUGAUCGGCACAGUCAAGAAUGUCAUUUGCCUUCCUCAUAACCCGCCUCUCAUAAAUAUCAGUUAAGGAGACCUGUGGACAACCUAUUAUCUUACUAGCCACCUUAACAAUGUGGUUGAUGUCAUUUUUUUCUUUCAGGCUGAUACCUCCAUACCAGGCAAUAAAAGCAAAAGUAAGAACAGAUUCAAUAUAAGAUUUAUAAAACAAAGACAAGAUAUCCUUAUCAACAUUAAAAGAGUUCAGCUUUCUUAGGAAGUACAGUCGUUGUUGACCCUUUUUGCAGAUGGUCUCUAUAUUUGCCUUGAAUUUGAGUUUACUAUCUAUCACUGUGCCCAAGUAUUUAUACUGCUCUACCACCUCAAUACUGCUACCUUUUAUACGAGUGGGUUGAGGAGGAGCAGGUUGUUUUUUCCUAAAAUCUAUACACAUAUCCUUAGUUUUUGAGGUGUUGAGUUGGAGAAAAGAUCUGUAACACCAACUAACAAACUCGUCUACCACAGGCCCAUGCUGGGAUUCAUGUUUCUGCAGUAAACUGAUAAUGACUGUAUCAUCAGCAUAUUUCAGGAUGUGUCUAUUUCUAUACUGACUCCCCCUGGAUAGAUGCGAUGGAAGUGAUUGUGACUGGCUGAGGGUUAGAGUCAUGUGUCAUGGUAAGCGAAUCAUAGCCAGUGUUUUCAAACACAAACCGGAACAGCGCGUGCGGCAAACACACACACGCAAAACAGAUGCAGAGGGAUAUGAUGGCAGAGCAUUCAGAGGAAUAUAUAGCAUAUGUCUACUUGAGCAGUUGUCUGACUAGAGAUUGUGAUUUAUGCUACAGAGUGAAACUCACUUUAUAUUGUUUUACUAUUGACUUUUGUUAACAAAAUACUUGAAGUACAGUCUACAAGUACUGUCUACUUGACCAGUUGUCUCAGGUUGUGAGAGUUAGAUUUAAUUUAUUAAACUCACUUUAUAUUGUUUACUGCUUACUGUUAUUUAUUUUAUUGUACUGUUCAUUUUUGUUGCACUUCAAGUGUAGGAUAAAUCUGUUGCUGGUGAGGUGCAAUAAAUAUUACAAGGUUCUAUAACACAACUACCUGUCUGUUCUUCUUUAUUCAACUGACUCGAAUACUGCUCAGAAAAUUUCCAAUUCUUUGACAUACA